AGCGAACGCUGGCGGCAGGCCUAACACAUGCAAGUCGAACGGACCCUUCGGGGUUAGUGGCGGACGGGUGAGUAACACGUGGGAACGUGCCUUUAGGUUCGGAAUAGCUCCUGGAAACGGGUGGUAAUGCCGAAUGUGCCCUUCGGGGGAAAGAUUUAUCGCCUUUAGAGCGGCCCGCGUCUGAUUAGCUAGUUGGUGAGGUAAUGGCUCACCAAGGCGACGAUCAGUAGCUGGUCUGAGAGGAUGACCAGCCACAUUGGGACUGAGACACGGCCCAAACUCCUACGGGAGGCAGCAGUGGGGAAUCUUGCGCAAUGGGCGAAAGCCUGACGCAGCCAUGCCGCGUGUAUGAUGAAGGUCUUAGGAUUGUAAAAUACUUUCACCGGUGAAGAUAAUGACUGUAGCCGGAGAAGAAGCCCCGGCUAACUUCGUGCCAGCAGCCGCAGUAAAAC
rnacentral:rRNA from 1 species